UACGUAGGGGGCUAGCGUUGUCCGGAAUCAUUGGGCGUAAAGAGCGUGUAGGCGGUCCGGUAAGUCCGCUGUGAAAGUCGGGGGGCUCAACCCUCGAAUGCCGGUGGAAACCAUUUGGCUAGAGUCCGGAAGAGGAGAGUGGAAUUCCCGGUGUAGCGGUGAAAUGCGCAGAUAUCGGGAAGAACACCCGUGGCGAAGGCGGCUCACUGGACUGGUAUUGACGCUGAGGUGCGAAAGCGUGGGGAGCGAACAGG
rnacentral:rRNA from 1 species